GACGAACGCUGGCGGCGUGCUUAACACAUGCAAGUCGAACGGAAAGACCCUGCUUUUGUGGGGUGCUCGAGUGGCGAACGGGUGAGCAACACGUGAGUAACCUGCCCUUGACUUUGGGAUAACUUCAGGAAACUGGGGCUAAUACCGGAUAGGAGCUCCUGCUGCAUGGUGGGGGUUGGAAAGUUUCGGCGGUUGGGGAUGGACUCGCGGCUUAUCAGCUUGUUGGUGGGGUAGUGGCUUACCAAGGCUUUGACGGGUAGCCGGCCUGAGAGGGUGACCGGCCACAUUGGGACUGAGAUACGGCCCAGACUCCUACGGGAGGCAGCAGUGGGGAAUAUUGCACAAUGGGCGGAAGCCUGAUGCAGCAACGCCGCGUGCGGGAUGACGGCCUUCGGGUUGUAAACCGCUUUCGCCUGUGACGAAGCGUGAGUGACGGUAAUGGGUAAAGAAGCACCGGCUAACUACGUG
rnacentral:rRNA from 1 species